CGCGUAGGUGGCUUGUCAGGUCCGAUGUGAAAACCUGGGGCUCAACCCCAGGCCUGCAUCGGAAACCGGCUUGCUAGAGUCUGGGAGAGGAGAGUGGAAUUCCUGGUGUAGCGGUGAAAUGCGUAGAUAUCAGGAGGAACACCGGUAGCGAAGGCGGCUCUCUGGAACAGUACUGACGCUGAGGCGCGAAAGCUAGGGGAGCGAACAG
rnacentral:rRNA from 1 species